rnacentral:tRNA from 1 species
AAGAUUUUAAGUUAAUUUUUAAAACUAUUAAUCUUCAAAAUUAAAUAUAUAUAUAUAUACCAUAUAUAAAUCUUA